rnacentral:rRNA from 1 species
GUCCACACCGUAAACGAUGUGCACUAGGUGUCGGGCCGUAGGGUUCGGUACCGUAGCUAACGCGUUAAGUGCACCGCCUGGGGAGUAUGCUCGCAAGGGUGAAACUCAAAGGAAUUGACGGGGCCCGCACAAGCGGAGGAGCAUGUGGUUUAAUUCGAUGGUACGCGAGAAACCUUACCAGGGUUUGACAUAUACAGGAAUGCAUCAGAGACGGUGCCGCCUUUCGGGGCCUGUAUACAGGUGCUGCAUGGCUGUCGU